GAAAUACGGGGCGCCAUCUCGGGAGGGUGGCGGUUUCAGGUGCCGGCCUGCAGCAACACGGACACAGCUGUAGAGGGCAGGCUCGGAAACCUCCAGCAAACCCCCCCACACGUAUGGAGUAACCACUAGGGAACGGCUACACUGAGUGCCACGGUGCACGGAGGAGAGGAGACUCUCCUGUUUGAAGGUUCUUCACCCAGAGGGUGGUUGGGCGCUGGAACAGGCUCCCCAGGGAAGUGGUCACAGCACCAAGCCUGACAGAGUUCAAGAAGCUUUUAAACAAUGCUCUCAGCUAUUGGCUGCCAAGGACAGGAUACUGGAUUAGGUGGACUCUUUGCUUGUCCCAGUACAGCCAUUCUUCUGUUUUCUUGGUGCAAUGGAGGUGGACAGAAAGGAACAUUAUUUUGACAGCCAUAAAUACACGGUACCCCAGAACAUAAGGGGAGUGAGGAUGGCUACUUGAAAGAAAACAGAACUUCCCCCAUCCCCUCCCACACAGCCACCAUCUCUGCUGAUCAACUUGGUCUCUAUACUGCUGUUCCAUGGCCUUCUCCUGUUUCUGGAGGCAGAAGUCUAGGUUCGCCUCUCCUUCCUAACCCAAACAGUCACAUUCGCCAGCUACCAAGCAACUACUGAAAAUCUAAGAAUGCUCAGAUGAUAAUUACUGAAGCAUCAUGAUACGUAUCAUUCACAAUAUAAACAUUUUGGCCUCCUUGACCUCAAAAUAAAGCUACAUCAUGCACUGCAGGGAAUCACACCAAGUUACAGGUAUUACACAUCCAUCAGUGCAGAGGAAGGAAGUCAGGGCAGGGGCAGGGGUAAGGAAAAUUUAUAUUUUUAUACUAUUCCAUGGUAUAUUUCACAACAAGUAGGUAUUUACUCCAAAACUACAUUUUCAAAAAGUAGUACCUAUAAUAUGCCAUACAACUAGGUAAAUUUUCCUUCAACUUCACCUUCCAUACUAAAUGGGGGUUAAGGAGCAGAGAAAGUGCAGCUUGUAAGUUUAGAGAAUACUGGAGGAAAAAUAUGCAAGGAAAAAUCUCUCUCCAAAUUAUCUCUUGCUUUGCUCAAAAAAUAUAACUGUACCAUUGUAUUUGCAUCAUUUUCAAUCAUGUCAGAUAUAAUCACUAAACUGUUACUUUCUUACAGUUUUCAAACUGUAAGAUGAAAAAAUAAAAUUCCUAAUUAGUAAAAUAGUAAACCGUAAACCCAUCACAUUAUUAAUAAAUUUUUCCUAGAGUAUGGAAGGUGCUUGUUAUACCAGAACAUGCCCUCUAUAAAUGCAAAAGAAACAAGCCUCAGAGAUUUCGAUUCAGUAAGGUAUUUGGGGAUUGCUCCCAAUUUGGAAUUCAAAGCUGUGUACCAGAACAUAAAAUAUGCAUGCCAUUAUUCUUUUCAGAAAUUUGUUAUUAAGUGACCAGGUAAUAGAAAUUAAAUAUAAUAUAAUUUCAGUUACAUUGUGGUAAAACUGCCAUCAUAGAUCUAGAUUUUUGUGUAUGAUAUUACAAUUUUAUCUUAAAAUAAAAGACUGCAUUUUUGUAAAUUCAAAGAGUUCAUUAUUUGUUUUAAAUAUGCCAAUGAAAUUUGUUUCCAACCCUAGACAUAUAUAUACAGUACACAUGUAAGGACAUGUGUAUAUCAAAAUCAGUGAGAAAUAAGUCUUUAGGGUUACUGCAUAUAUUUGUCAUACUUAAUAAGUAAAUAAAAGUGGAAGAAUAAUUACACAGACUAUAAAUAGAUAUAAAAAAUGUUAUAAAAGGAAAAACCAAUGACUUUUAGAAUCUAGAUAUAUGAUAUGCUGCAAGACUGAGACUUGUAAGAGCUUCUGCAAAACAGAGUUGCUUUUGCUUAUAAAAGCCAAAUACAUAGCAAAAAAGUCAGUUCUGGUGUGGUUCCCCUAUGCAAUUUUAAAAACGAUUAUUAAAAAAAAUCUCUAAUUUCCUUCACCAUGUACAGUUAAUU